UACAGAGGUGGCAAGCGUUGUUCGGAAUUAUUGGGCGUAAAGGGCGCGUAGGCGGCCUGGCAAGUGGAAGGUGGAAUCCCUCGGCUUAACCGAGGAACUGCCCUCCAAACUGCUUGGCUUGAGUCCGGGAGAGGUGAGUGGAAUUCCCAGUGUAGCGGUGAAAUGCGUAGAUAUUGGGAGGAACACCAGUGGCGAAGGCGGCUCACUGGACCGGAACUGACGCUGAGGCGCGAAAGCGUGGGGAGCAAACGGG
rnacentral:rRNA from 1 species